rnacentral:rRNA from 1 species
GACGAACGCUGGCGGCGUGCCUAAUACAUGCAAGUAGAACGCUGAAGGAGGAGCUUGCUUCUCUGGAUGAGUUGCGAACGGGUGAGUAACGCGUAGGUAACCUGCCUGGUAGCGGGGGAUAACUAUUGGAAACGAUAGCUAAUACCGCAUAAGAGUAGAUGUUGCAUGACAUUUGCUUAAAAGGUGCAAUUGCAUCACUACCAGAUGGACCUGCGUUGUAUUAGCUAGUUGGUGGGGCAACGGCUCACCAAGGCGACGAUACAUAGCCGACCUGAGAGGGUGAUCGGCCACACUGGGACUGAGACACGGCCCAGACUCCUACGGGAGGCAGCAGUAGGGAAUCUUCGGCAAUGGACGGAAGUCUGACCGAGCAACGCCGCGUGAGUGAAGAAGGUUUUCGGAUCGUAAAGCUCUGUUGUAAGAGAAGAACGAGUGUGAGAGUGGAAAGUUCACACUGUGACGGUAUCUUACCAGAAAGGGACGGCUAACUACGUG